UGACUAAGGGCCAAGAAGUUGGAUGUCGGGUGUGUAUGGCCAUAUGUUUGUGUAUAAUCCUGGACUAGAGGGCAAAGACACUCACUUCACAUCAUCGCCUUGGGUGUUGAGGCCCCCUGAUCAGUGUCCCCCAACACACCUACUCCUUCCUGGGCACUUAGAACCAGGUGGCUGGUCUCCCUAGUAACAGUUGCUAUGACUACCAGGUUUCCUACUAGGGAGCCUGAGAUGGAGGGGGCUGAAGAGGGGACCAAAUCCCCUGCCCCAACAAACUUCUCAUUGUCUCACUCCCUUGAGCAGGGCGGACCCAGGAGACCUGAUCAGCAUUUGCCCCCAGCCCCCUGUGGGGCCUCGGGGCCCCCUGAAACCUUCAGGACGGAGUCAGACGGGGCGGGCACCAUGAACAAGUUACGGCAGAGUCUGCGGCGGAG
rnacentral:lncRNA from 1 species